rnacentral:rRNA from 1 species
UACGUAGGGUGCACGCGUUAAUCGGAAUUACUGGGCGUAAAGCGUGCGCAGGCGGUUUUGUAAGUCUGUCGUGAAAUCCCCGGGCUCAACCUGGGAAUUGCGAUGGAGACUGCAAGGCUAGAAUCUGGCAGAGGGGGGUAGAAUUCCACGUGUAGCAGUGAAAUGCGUAGAGAUGUGGAGGAACACCGAUGGCGAAGGCAGCCCCCUGGGUCAAGAUUGACGCUCAUGCACGAAAGCGUGGGGAGCAAACAGG